CAAAGGUUCACCACCACGCCCCAGUGGGGCUUUCUAUUCAAUUCACAAGGUACAAAAAAGUGAUUUUUCGCCGCAGAAUUACAGGGUAGGAGCAUGAAACACUCUAUGUUGUACACCACAUUGUGACUCUUAUUGAACUUGCUACAAAAUGAAAUUACAAAACGGAAUGUGAAUCCACUAAUACUUCUAAGGAGUGUUACAACAAGACGGCCGUUCGAGUGACUAUGAAAACCCAAAUUUGGACAAGGCUGACUGGAACAACUCUGAGAAGGCCUGAGAUGUACUCUGAUCAUCAGCUUUGACCUUUAACUGUACUUUACAUGACGAUGAAUUGACUACACACUCUACAAGAUAGGUAGACGGCUCCUCUGCUUUUUGUGCAUAGAAGAAGAACUUGAAAUUCGGAGCUUGACCACCGGAAGCUAUGCAAUGGAUUGAAUGGCCUUGCAUAUGAUGGAUAAGUGUUUGAGGAGAUAUCAGAGUAGCCACUCCUUCUGGACUGAUGGAAGUUUCCUGUGAUAAUGAUAUUGGAAGUUGACGCCAUUUUUGCUGGAAUGCGUUUGGCUCUAGAGCAGCUUUAGUGUUGAGCUUCAAAACAGGAGGUGGGGCAGGGGGACUGGCUGCAGCAGGCAAACCAAGACCAAGUAGAUCAUCAAUUGCAAAAGUAGCUGAUGGCACAUUUGGAGUAGGUUUAUAAUCUAAGGAAACAAGAUCAGUUUGAGACAGUGCAGCCAAAGAACCAUCAUAUCCAGGAGCACUAUACGCAGAACUAUUGUGGAUAGAACCUUUACUUUCUUCUUUAUCGGAAGUACUCAGAAGUAAAUCCUUAUCAUUUGCCUCGAUUCUCUGUGCUGGGGCUACAUUAUCAGUCGAUUCUUCCCCAAGAGAUAAAUUUCCAAUUUCCUCGGAGAAGGCAAAUGGCCCUCUAUGUUCCUUGUCAGUGAACAUGUAAGAAGGCUUUUGAUAAACUACAGAGAGGCUGUUAAACUCAUCGAAGAUACGAUCUUUAAUUUCAUUACUUUGUGUAUCAGCAAAGACAGAAACAGCUUGCUUUGGAGGAUUCACCACACGCUCUGCUAUGGAGACAUUGUACUGCAGAAGUCUAUAGUAUAAUAAUGCCCUGUCAUGGACAUCCUGAUGAAAAUCAUUAACACCAGCAGCCAACGCAGCUCCCAAGGCUUUCUGAGUCUCCGGUGGUCUUCUAAAAAAGCACUUAACUACUGCUGUAAGAAGAUGUAAACGAACCUCUGCGGAGUGCUCCUCUUCCCAAUUCUCAAUAAGACUCUCCAAUAUGUACGGAGCAUCUUGCAUGUCUUGAGCAUAUUCCCCCAACAUCCAGAUAAGAGCUGCCUUGGCUUUGGGUUCCUGGACAUUUUUGCUACUAAUAUUCCCUACAACUGCUAUACAAUCAUGGCUCCAUUGAGGAUAUUUCCUUAGGAGAUCUUUCACAAGUACCAGAGUUUCCGCAGUCACAUGGUCCUUUUCCAUUUCCAAAAACUGGAGAAGCCUAUCUACAAUUGCAUUAACAUCAUAUUGUUGUAAUGCUAUUUUGCCGACAGCCCUGAUCGAUUCUCUCGCCAUGGGAAUAUCAACAUUUGCAGCAUAU
rnacentral:misc_RNA from 1 species